rnacentral:sRNA from 1 species
AUUGUAACCCUGGCGACUAAAAUCCUGUGUUUAGCUGUAGAACAGGUGCAGUAAAUGCAGCAGCAGUGGAAGCUUUUCCCUAACUUUCCUACUAUUUUCCUCAUCCCUUACAGAUGAAAGCACUUCAAGGGAGAGAGUAGUUUGAUUUCUGUGCCACUUGAUGCUUUUGCUGAA